rnacentral:lncRNA from 1 species
UAUCAAUGAGCUAUGGAGAUGCUCAUCAAUAGAUAUCAAUGUGAAUGAGUAGGGAUUGUCAUACAAAUGAUGCACUAGAGCGAAGAGUAUGUGAAAGCUCUUAAAGAAAACUAGUGGGUGUGCAUCCAACUUGCUUGCUCACGAAGACCUAAGGCAAUUUUGAGGAAGCCCAUCAUUGGAAUAUACAAGCUAAGUUAUAUAAUGGAAAUUUCCCACUAGCUAUAUGGUGGUGACAAAACGAGAGACUCUCAAUCAUGAAGAUCAUUGUGCUUAAUAUGAAGCACAAGUGUGGAAAGGAGAUAGUAGCAUUGUCCCUUCUCUCUUUUUCUCUCAUUUUUUUUGGUGGGCUCUUUGGCCUCUUUUUUUUUGGUGGGCAUAUUUGGCCUAUUUAUUUCCUCACAUGGGACAAUGCUCCAUCAAUGAUGAUCAUCACAUGGGACAGACACAGCAGCUAAGAAGGACACA